ensembl:lncRNA
GUUUGUGAUAUUUUAUUGAUAUUUGUGAAGAAAGGGUACAAAAUCUCCCACUCUGCAAAAAAAUCAUCUGAUCUGUAUCUACAUUGUCUUAUAGUUUACAGGAAAUUUUCACCCCAACCCCUUCAUUUUUUUAGUAACAAAAAACAGACUGAACUGUUUGUUUGUGUUGAAAAGUUUGUUUUGUCAAUUUUGGUCAUACAUUUCAAAGAAUAAUCCUCCUUGCAAAAUUGCUCAUUGGCUAAUAACUCAUGAUUGACAAGUUGUUAGCCAAAGAGCAAGCAGUUCCACAGUCUGACCUCAGCCUCUUUGUCACAUUCAUUUUUGUUGUUUUUAAACCAGGAUUGCAUCUGUGAAACUGCUAAUCACAGAGCACGGCACUUCAGAAACCAAUGGAUGGCAUCACGGUAGCUAUAUCCUCUUUUAUACUUUCUGUGUAUGUAACUAGCUAGCAAAGACGGCGUAGCAUUUAGCUAGAACCAGACAUUCUGCAGCAUUUUGUCUAAAGACAAAUAUAAGCAAAGUGUCCAAAUAAGUGUUUCUCAGAGUAUAUGUAUUUGUAAGUUGAACAUGUGCCUGCAACUGUAAAUGUUAAAAUAUGGCAUCCUCUUUUUUGUAGCUAAGAAUACCUGUAUUAGCUAGCAAUCACAGUUUUAACAUGUAAUUAGAUAAGUUUAAAUUCAUUCAUUGAGCUUUUUAAUGGCAGAAAAAAUAUAUAGUGAAAAAGUAGCUUCCUCAAAACCAAUUUUGUCCUUGAGAAUUUCUGCAGAAGUAAAAUAACUUCUUCCACAGGACGAAAGAGAAUGCUAAUGAGCAUGUGCAGAGUAAGUGUAAUCUCCAGCUUGUUUAUGCUCCGCUACAAUUGCCCCAUUUUACCAAAUGCUCCCGGUCUUCUACCGCUGGUAUUUGGGAUUGUGCUACUGGUCAGUAACAAUACCACAGACAUGUUUAUAAUCUUUGUUGAUAAGAAAAUAAAUGAAAAGGGAUGAGAUAGGCCAGGGGCUGCGUUUUUUUUGGAAGGUCUAACUGAGCAUCUGCAGUGGCUCCUAGGCAUGGCUUAUUUCCUUGGUACCUAAGAGAGAGGAUGACACACAGAGACAGAGGAAAGGGGUAAAGGUCAUGGAAACGAGGGCAAACAGAUGCAUAGUGUUGUGUGGAGUGCAAUAAAAGUAGGCUAUCUUUAGAUUCUGCCAAAACACAGCUGAUGGGUUGUUGUUUUUAAAGCCUCACAGACAUUGGUUCCUGGCCUUUGGAAGUUAUAUGGACUAACUCCCUGGGUCUGCUCUCCACUGAACCAAUAAAAGGCAAACCAGAACCACAGCACCUGUAUUCAUUAAACAACCUGUUUAGCAACCAUGCAGCGGAAGGAGAAGUCUGAGUCUGU